CGAAUGCUGACAUAAGUAACGAUAAAGCGGGUGAAAAGCCCGCUCGCCGGAAGACCAAGGGUUCCUGUCCAACGUUAAUCGGGGCAGGGUGAGUCGACCCCUAAGGCGAGGCCGAAAGGCGUAGUCGAUGGGAAACAGGUUAAUAUUCCUGUACUUGGUGUUACUGCGAAGGGGGGACGGAGAAGGCUAUGUUGGCCGGGCGACGGUUGUCCCGGUUUAAGCGUGUAGGCUGGUUUUCCAGGCAAAUCCGGAAAAUCAAGGCUGAGGCGUGAUGACGAGGCACUACGGUGCUGAAGCAACAAAUGCCCUGCUUCCAGGAAAAGCCUCUAAGCAUCAGGUAACAUCAAAUCGUACCCCAAACCGACACAGGUGGUCAGGUAGAGAAUACCAAGGCGCUUGAGAGAACUCGGGUGAAGGAACUAGGCAAAAUGGUGCCGUAACUUCGGGAGAAGGCACGCUGAUAUGUAGGUGAAGCGACUUGCUCGUGGAGCUGAAAUCAGUCGAAGAUACCAGCUGGCUGCAACUGUUUAUUAAAAACACAGCACUGUGCAAACACGAAAGUGGACGUAUACGGUGUGACGCCUGCCCGGUGCCGGAAGGUUAAUUGAUGGGGUUAGCGGUAACGCGAAGCUCUUGAUCGAAGCCCCGGUAAACGGCGGCCGUAACUAUAACGGUCCUAAGGUAGCGAAAUUCCUUGUCGGGUAAGUUCCGACCUGCACGAAUGGCGUAAUGAUGGCCAGGCUGUCUCCACCCGAGACUCAGUGAAAUUGAACUCGCUGUGAAGAUGCAGUGUACCCGCGGCAAGACGGAAAGACCCCGUGAACCUUUACUAUAGCUUGACACUGAACAUUGAGCCUUGAUGUGUAGGAUAGGUGGGAGGCUUUGAAGUGUGGACGCCAGUCUGCAUGGAGCCGACCUUGAAAUACCACCCUUUAAUGUUUGAUGUUCUAACGUUGGCCCCUAAUCGGGGUUGCGGACAGUGUCUGGUGGGUAGUUUGACUGGGGCGGUCUCCUCCUAAAGAGUAACGGAGGAGCACGAAGGUUGGCUAAUCCUGGUCGGACAUCAGGAGGUUAGUGCAAUGGCAUAAGCCAGCUUGACUGCGAGCGUGACGGCGCGAGCAGGUGCGAAAGCAGGUCAUAGUGAUCCGGUGGUUCUGAAUGGAAGGGCCAUCGCUCAACGGAUAAAAGGUACUCCGGGGAUAACAGGCUGAUACCGCCCAAGAGUUCAUAUCGACGGCGGUGUUUGGCACCUCGAUGUCGGCUCAUCACAUCCUGGGGCUGAAGUAGGUCCCAAGGGUAUGGCUGUUCGCCAUUUAAAGUGGUACGCGAGCUGGGUUUAGAACGUCGUGAGACAGUUCGGUCCCUAUCUGCCGUGGGCGCUGGAGAACUGAGGGGGGCUGCUCCUAGUACGAGAGGACCGGAGUGGACGCAUCACUGGUGUUCGGGUUGUCAUGCCAAUGGCACUGCCCGGUAGCUAAAUGCGGAAGAGAUAAGUGCUGAAAGCAUCUAAGCACGAAACUUGCCCCG
rnacentral:rRNA from 1 species